rnacentral:rRNA from 1 species
UUAGAUAACAUACCAACUUAGUGGUGACUCCAUUAACUGAUCRAAUCGCACGGCUUCGUCCGCGAAAAUCAUUCAGGUUUCUGCCCCAUCAGCUUUUUAUGGUACUGUAUUGGACUACCAUGGCUUUCACGGGUAACGGAVGAUUAGGGUUCGAUUCCGGAGAGGGAGCCUGAUAAACGGCUACCACAUCUAACGAAGGCAGCAGGCGCGUAAAUUACCCAAUCCUGAUUCAGGGAGGUAGUG